rnacentral:rRNA from 1 species
GACGAACGCUGGCGGCGUGCUUAACACAUGCAAGUCGAACGGAAAGGCCCUGCUUUUGUGGGGUGCUCGAGUGGCGAACGGGUGAGUAACACGUGAGUAACCUGCCCUUGACUUUGGGAUAACUUCAGGAAACUGGGGCUAAUACCGGAUAGGAGCUCCUGCUGCAUGGUGGGGGUUGGAAAGUUUCGGCGGUUGGGGAUGGACUCGCGGCUUAUCAGCUUGUUGGUGGGGUAGUGGCUUACCAAGGCUUUGACGGGUAGCCGGCCUGAGAGGGUGACCGGCCACAUUGGGACUGAGAGACGGCCCAGACUCCUACGGGAGGCAGCAGUGGGGAAUAUUGCACAAUGGGCGGAAGCCUGAUGCAGCAACGCCGGGUGCGGGAUGACGGCCUUCGGGUUGUAAACCGCUUUCGCCUGUGACGAAGCGUGAGUGACGGUAAUGGGUAAAGAAGCACCGGCUAACUACGUG